rnacentral:rRNA from 1 species
GACGAACGCUGGCGGCGUGCUUAACACAUGCAAGUCGAACGGAAAGGCCCUGCUCUUGUUGGUUGCUCGAGUGGCGCACGGGUGAGUAACACGUGUGUAACCUCCCCUUGUCUUUCGGAUAACUUCACGAAACUCCGGCGAAUACCCCGUAGAAGCUUCUGCUGCAUGGUGUGGGUUGGAAAGUUUCGGCGGUUGUGGAUGGACUCGCGGGUUAUCAGCUUGUUGGUGGGGUAGGGGCUUACAAAGCCUUUGACGGGUAGCCGGCCUGAGAGGGUUACCGGCGACAUUGGGACUGAGAUAGGGCCCAGAAUCGUACGGGAGGCAGCAGGGGGGAAUAUUGCACAAUGGGCGGAAGCCUGAUGCAGCAACGUCGCGAGCGGGAUGCCGGCCUUCGAGGUGUAAACAGCUGUCGCCUGUGACGAACCGUGAGUGACGGUAAUGGGUAAAGAAGCACCGGCUAACUACGUG